GUUCUUCAGGCUGCUUGCUCCAAUAUCCUCGUCAGACAACUGCAGGGAGCCUUUGUGCAUUUAUUUAUUUAUUUGCUUGGACUUGGAAUAUGAACAAAACAUGCAGUCACUUCCCACCAGGAUGUAUCCUUCUGGACAUUGGCACACGUGCAAGAUGACAAUUUAAGAUAUAAGUUGCAAAGAUUGGAGCAUCUCAAGAUAACGUGUUUUGAGGAUGGUGAGCUGCCCAGGUCACCUGGUUCUGGAUUUGAUACCUUCUGGAUGGACCUACCUAUCCACCCUGGACUGCCAUUGGUCAGAAAAGGAAACUUCUAUGUGGGUGAAUGCUUCCUGCCCGUUGGGUUUGCCACUGGCUGGUAUGUGAGUGACACUGGCUGCUGUAACAAACGUACACCAACGUUCCAGUGGCUUCCUACAACAAGAGAUUUAUUCUUCCUCCUGAAAAAUUUCAGGCUGCAUUCCUGGUUGGCAGGAAGCUCCCCUCCACAUGAUGACUCAGGGACCUCAUUUUGUUCAUCACGGCUCUGCCCUGUCUUGUACAUGUUGUUGGUGAAGUUGAUAAAGGAACAUAGAAAGCCAUUUUCUGUAGAGGAGUAACCCAAGUGAUGCCUGUCUUAUCAGCUCCUAUUCCUUUGGUAGGAAUUUACUCACACGACCGCCUCUAUUUUAGAGGGAAGCAAGGAGACUUGGUGUAACUGUAUGCUCAGAAAAGAGGGGUCAACUGAGGAUUUUAAGUAUCUAUCAAUCUCUACUUAAGUGAAUAUGGAGCAUUCUAAGUGUAGAAAACUAAAGAAAACAGAGACAGAGGAACAAAGUAGGUGAAGGUGGCAGAGCACAGAAUGAAGGAGCUGGGAAUGGCAAAGACAUUCUAUACUAGAGGAGAGGAUGGGGUAGUUUCACAAUGCAUGGAAAAUCUAUUCUCUCUGAAAACCUGGGGUUGACAUGCUACAAGUUUCUCCGUUGACCUGGGUGGCGGUUAUGCAGGGCUGUUCCCUUUGUG
rnacentral:lncRNA from 1 species